rnacentral:rRNA from 1 species
AUUGAACGCUGGCGGCAGGCCUAACACAUGCAAGUCGAGCGAGCGGCGGACGGGUGAGUAAUGUAUGGGGACUGCCCGAUAGAGGGGGAUAACUACUGGAAACGGUGGCUAAUACCGCAUACUCUCGGAUAACCCAUAUGGGAUUAGAUAGGAGGUGGGGUAAAGGCUCACCUAGGCGAGGAACUCUAGCUGGUCUGAGAGGAUGAUCAGCCAACCUGGGAACGAGACACGGCCCAGAAUCCAAGGGAGGGAGGAGUGGGGAAUAUUUGCACAGGGGAGCAAGCCUGAUGCCGGCCAGCCGGGUGUAUGAAGAAGGCCUUAGGGUUGUAAAGUACUUUCAGCGGGGAGGCGUUACCCGCAGAAGAAGCACCGGCUAACUCCGUGCCAGCAGCCGCGGUAAUUC